GCACGUUAUGGUGGGCACUCUAAGGAGACUGCCGGUGACAAACCGGAGGAAGGUGGGGAUGACGUCAAGUCAUCAUGGCCCUUACGGCCUGGGCUACACACGUGCUACAAUGGUCGGUACAGAGGGUUGCCAAGCCGCGAGGUGGAGCUAAUCUCACAAAACCGAUCGUAGUCCGGAUCGCAGUCUGCAACUCGACUGCGUGAAGUCGGAAUCGCUAGUAAUCGCAAAUCAGAAUGUUGCGGUGAAUACGUUCCCGGGCCUUGUACACACCGCCCGUCACACCAUGGGAGUGGGUUGCACCAGAAGUAGCUAGUCUAACCUUCGGGGGGACGGUUACCACGGUGUGAUUCAUGACUGGGGUGAAGUCGUAACAAGUUACCCCGUAG
rnacentral:rRNA from 1 species